rnacentral:misc_RNA from 1 species
GGAAGUAAAAGUCGUAACAAAGUCUCCGUAGGUGAACCUGCGGAGGGAUCAUCACAGAGUUCAUGCCCUACCGGGUAGAUCUCCCACCCUAUGUUAUUAUUACUUUGUUGCUUUGGCGGGCCGUUAGGCUCCGGCCCGACUACCGGCCCCGGCUGGUAAGCGCCCGCCAGAGGACCCAAAACCCUGAAUAUUAGUGUCGUCUGAGUACUAUAUGAUAGUUAAAACUUUCAACAACGGAUCUCUUGGUUCUG